AUAAUUUUGUUUGUCUGCGCUUGGCAUGUUGGCAGCAGUGGUUUAUCUUGUUUUUCGUUAUGGAUCUGUCUGACUUGCAACUACAUCGCGCUGCUGUCAUCGCGGCUAUAUCGACGCCUUACGGUCAUCACCAUCUUUACGGUAGUGUUUUAUUUCUUUUCGUUACGUAAACGUGCUUUGUCGACCAAGGAUGCGUGACUACUCGCAACUAUAGCAAGUUUGGUAUCACGGUCAUCACAUGCAACACCUGCAAUUAUAUAAACUGGAGCAGCCGCCAACAAAGCGAACGCCAAUGCGGCCACAAAAGCAAUCCCGAAGAGAGCAACCACCAAUGGAGCAACACCAUAGCAACAAGCAGAGAAGCAACGCCACAAGAAGCGACCACCAAAUGCAGGGGGACACCACGCACUUUCUUCUCUCCUCUGGGAAAGUCCAAGCAACGGAAACGUUCACCAGAAGUGACUUGGUGGAGACUUCAAGCGAUCGACAGAGCACACUUGACAUUUUGAUA